rnacentral:rRNA from 1 species
GACGUAGGAUGCGAGCGUUAUUCGGAUUAUUGGGCGUAAAGCGUGCGUAGGCGGCUGUUUAAGUCUGGUGUUAAAGCUAGGGGCUCAACCCCUGUGAUGCACUGGAAACUGGGCAGCUUGAGUGCGGUAGGGGAAGGUGGAAUUCCGAGUGUAGCGGUGAAAUGCGUAGAUAUUCGGAAGAACACCGGUGGCGAAGGCGACCUUCUGGGCCGCAACUGACGCUGAGGCGCGAAGGCUAGGGGAGCGAACGGG